UCUGUACCAUAAGUCAUCCUUGCGGGGGUUGUCGGAACUGUAUGCGCAGUCGCACUAAGGACAGAUGUGCUCAGAGGCAUGCCCCGUAACGUGUAUGAGCGGUCUGUCGUGCGGCAGGAAUAAGUUGUACAAAGUCCAUCUUAGACAUGUGUGUCACGCAAGCUAGCAGCAUCCCAUGAGAAACGGGCCGAAGUGUUUAAGUGUUCACCGGAGUUUGCACCCUUGGCAAGCGGAAUGAGUUUUCACGGUGCUCAAUGUCCAGAGAAUGAGCCGUGUGUGGUGAGGAAAUAAAUGGCUGCACCCGUCAGAGACUCUUCUGUCGUUCUUGAU